rnacentral:misc_RNA from 1 species
UGGUUCUGGCAUCGAUGAAGAACGCAGCGAAAUGCGAUAAGUAAUGUGAAUUGCAGAAUUCAGUGAAUCAUCGAAUCUUUGAACGCACAUUGCGCCCAUCAGUAUUCUGUUGGGCAUGCCUGUUCGAGCGUCAUUUCCACCCUCAAGCCCUGGGCUCGGUGUUGGGGUGCUACACUGUAGGCCCCGAAGAACAGUGGCGGUCCCGUCCGGACUACCGAGCGCAGUACUUCUCUCGCUCUGGUGACCGGCGGGCUCCAGCCGUUAAACCACGAAGGUUGACCUCGGAUCAGGUAGGAAUACCCGCUGA